AUUGAACGCUGGCGGCAUGCCUUACACAUGCAAGUCGAACGGCAGCACGGGAGCAAUCCUGGUGGCGAGUGGCGAACGGGUGAGUAAUAUAUCGGAACGUGCCCGGUCGUGGGGGAUAACGUAGCGAAAGCUACGCUAAUACCGCAUACGAUCUACGGAUGAAAGCGGGGGAUCGCAAGACCUCGCGCGAUUGGAGCGGCCGAUAUCAGAUUAGGUAGUUGGUGAGGUAAAGGCUCACCAAGCCGACGAUCUGUAGCUGGUCUGAGAGGACGACCAGCCACACUGGGACUGAGACACGGCCCAGACUCCUACGGGAGGCAGCAGUGGGGAAUUUUGGACAAUGGGCGCAAGCCUGAUCCAGCAAUGCCGCGUGCAGGAUGAAGGCCUCGGUUGGUAACUAGCUUUGUUACGGAACGAACGGUAGAG
rnacentral:rRNA from 1 species